rnacentral:rRNA from 1 species
UACAUAGGGUGCAAGCGUUAUUCGGAUUUAUUGGGCGUAAAGAGCUCGUAGGCGGUUCGAUCAGUCGGGUGUGAAACCCCCAGGCUUAACCUGGGGCAGCCACUCGAAACUGUCGUGACUAGAGUUUGGUAGGGGAUCACGGAAUUCCUGGUGUAGCGGUGGAAUGCGCAGAUAUCAGGAGGAACACCAGCAGCGAAGGCGGUGAUCUGGGCCAAUACUGACGCUGAGGAGCGAAAGCGUGGGGAGCGAACAGG